rnacentral:rRNA from 1 species
GAUGAACGCUAGCGGCAGGCCUAACACAUGCAAGUCGAGGGAGGAGCUUUCGGGCUUCGACCGGCGUACGGGCGCGUAACGCGUAUACAAUCUGCCUUUCACAUAGGGAUAGCCCGAAGAAAUUUGGAUUAAUACCUAAUGGUAUAUAGGGGUGGCAUCACCUUUAUAUUAAAGCUGAGGCGGUGAAAGAUGAGUAUGCGUUCUAUUAGCUAGUUGGAGAGGUAACGGCUCCCCAAGGCGACGAUAGAUAGGGGUUCUGAGAGGGAUAUCCCCCACACUGGUACUGAGAUACGGACCAGACUCCUACGGGAGGCAGCAGUGAGGAAUAUUGGACAAUGGUCGGAAGACUGAUCCAGCCAUGCCGCGUGCAGGAAGACGGCCUUAUGGGUUGUAAACUGCUUUUGCAGGGGAAGAAUAAGGACUACGCGUAGUUUGAUGACGGUACUCUGCGAAUAAGCAUCGGCUAACUCCGUGCCAGCAGCCGCGGUAAUACGGAGGAUGCGAGCGUUAUCCGGAAUCAUUGGGUUUAAAGGGUCCGUAGGCGGGCUAAUAAGUCAGAGGUGAAAGCGCUCAGCUCAACUGAGCAACUGCCUUUGAAACUGUUAGUCUUGAAUGGUUGUGAAGUAGUUGGAAUGUGUAGUGUAGCGGUGAAAUGCUUAGAUAUUACACAGAACACCGAUAGCGAAGGCAUAUUACUAACAAUUAAUUGACGCUGGUGGACGAAAGCGUGGGGAGCGAACAGG